rnacentral:rRNA from 1 species
GCAGGGAAUAUUGCACAAUGGGCGCAAGCCUGAUGCAGCGACGCCGCGUGCGGGAUGAAGGCCUUCGGGUUGUAAACCGCUUUCAGGAGGGACGAAAAUGACGGUACCUCCAGAAGAAGCCCCGGCCAACUACGUGCCAGCAGCCGCGGUAACACGUAGGGGGCGAGCGUUGUCCGGAUUUAUUGGGCGUAAAGGGCUCGUAGGCGGUUCAGCAAGUCAAUCGUGAAAACCCGGGGCUCAACCCCGGGACGCCGGUCGAAACUGCUGUGACUAGGGUCCGGUAGAGGUGAGUGGAAUUCUCGGUGUAGCGGUGAAAUGCGCAGAUAUCGAGAGGAACACCAGUAGCGAAGGCGGCUCACUGGGCCGGUACCGACGCUGAUGAGCGAAAGCGUGGGGAGCAAACAGGAUUAGAAACCCUAGUAGUCC